rnacentral:rRNA from 1 species
UACGUAGGUGGCAAGCGUUGUCCGGAUUUACUGGGUGUAAAGGGCGUGCAGCCGGGCUGACAAGUCAGAUGUGAAAUCCCGCGGCUCAACCGCGGAACUGCAUUUGAAACUGUUAGUCUUGAGUACCGGAGAGGUCAUCGGAAUUCCUUGUGUAGCGGUGAAAUGCGUAGAUAUUAGGAGGAACACCAGUGGCGAAGGCGGCCUGCUGGACGAUGACUGACGCUGAGGCUCGAAAGCGUGGGGAGCAAACAGG